ACGGUACCUGAAGAAUAAGCACCGGCUAACUACGUGCCAGCAGCCGCGGUAAUACGUAGGGUGCAAGCGUUAAUCGGAAUUACUGGGCGUAAAGCGUGCGCAGGCGGUUAUGUAAGACAGGUGUGAAAUCCCCGGGCUUAACCUGGGAAUGGCAUUUGUGACUGCAUAGCUAGAGUGUGUCAGAGGGGGGUAGAAUUCCACGUGUAGCAGUGAAAUGCGUAGAGAUGUGGAGGAAUACCGAUGGCGAAGGCAGCCCCCUGGGAUAACACUGACGCUCAUGCACGAAAGCGUGGGGAGCAAACAGGAUUAGAUACCCUGGUAGUCCACGCCCUAAACGAUGUCUACUAGUUGUCGGGUCUUAAUUGACUUGGUAACGCAGCUAACGCGUGAAGUAGACCGCCUGGGGAGUACGGUCGCAAGAUUAAAACUCAAAGGAAUUGACGGGGACCCGCACAAGCGGUGGAUGAUGUGGAUUAAUUCGAUGCAACGCGAAAAACCUUACCUACCCUUGACAUGUACAGAAUCCCGAAGAGAUUUGGGAGUGUUCGAAAGAAAACUGUAACACAGGUGCUGCAUGGCUGUCGUCAGCUCGUGUCGUGAGAUGUUGGGUUAAGUCCCGCAACGAGCGCAACCCUUGUCAUUAGUUGCUACGAAAGGGCACUCUAAUGAGACUGCCGGUGACAAACCGGAGGAAGGUGGGGAUGACGUCAAGUCCUCAUGGCCCUUAUGGGUAGGGCUUCACACGUCAUACAAUGGUACAUACAGAGGGCCGCCAACCCGCGAGGGGGAGCUAAUCCCAGAAAGUGUAUCGUAGUCCGGAUUGUAGUCUGCAACUCGACUACAUGAAGUUGGAAUCGCUAGUAAUCGCGGAUCAGCAUGUCGCGGUGAAUACGUUCCCGGGUCUUGUACACACCGCCCGUCACACCAUGGGAGCGGGU
rnacentral:rRNA from 1 species